UGUAAGGACUGUUCAGUGGUUUGCUGCUGA
rnacentral:piRNA from 1 species